CAAGAUCUAUGAUCAUAUGAAUAAAACCGAGUACUUGCUCAUGCUCAACCCGAUUUGAACGAAGUAAAGUCUCUGAGCAUUUACUCAAAACGGUAUGAAUAAAACGAUACUUUGCUCAGAGUAAGUUCGAAUUUCGAACUUAGCAUUUACUCUGUCAAAAAUGUUGUUUUGUUUUGACCCGCGAGGAAAAAGAAUCCCUGCGGUGGAACAAUUUAGUGCCUUUGUGGAUCUUUUCCGUCUUUUUUGUUGUUGCCGGCUGCUGGAGUCAUACACAAAAACGAGAAAACACAAUCGGGGAGAAUUUCGAGCCAUCAUGUGCCACUUGUGGGGGUACAAACGGUAUACCAAAUGCUACCUUGCUCCGCAUAAGCCACCGAUGAAUGUAAUCGGUCCGUACGCAACUCUCCCAUCGAUGGGUAGAGAGCCAACAGGUGUCACAAGUUUAAUAAGCAACACGAGUCCCAGCGGCGCAGCAACAUCAAAAAACGAAUGGGAAACCUCAGUAUUGAUAGCAGUUGUUUGACCAGUAGUGAAGAAGGAUCCAUGGGACAAAGCAAUGGGCCCGUAUUCAACGUUAAAAUGCUGUAGAGUCCUGAUUGAAAUAAUAAACGAAUUAUGCUGCAAAACUUGA
rnacentral:lncRNA from 1 species